rnacentral:rRNA from 1 species
AACGAACGCUGGCGGCAGGCCUAACACAUGCAAGUCGAGCGCCCCGCAAGGGGAGCGGCGGACGGGUGAGUAACGCGUGGGAACGUACCCUUUGCUACGGAAUAGCCUCGGGAAACUGGGAGUAAUACCGUAUGUGCCCUUCGGGGGAAAGAUUUAUCGGCAAAGGAUCGGCCCGCGUUGGAUUAGGUAGUUGGUGGGGUAAUGGCCUACCAAGCCGACGAUCCAUAGCUGGUUUGAGAGGAUGAUCAGCCACAUUGGGACUGAGACACGGCCCAAACUCCUACGGGAGGCAGCAGUGGGGAAUCUUGCGCAAUGGGCGAAAGCCUGACGCAGCCAUGCCGCGUGAAUGAUGAAGGUCUUAGGAUUGUAAAAUUCAUUCACCGGGGACGAUAAUGACGGUACCCGGAGAAGAAGCCCCGGCUAACUUCGUGCCAGCAGCCGCGGUAAU